GCCCCCGUAGCUCAAUGGUCAGAGCGCACGGUUUCUACCCGUUAGAUGUGGGUUCGAUUCCUACCGGGGGCA
rnacentral:tRNA from 1 species